CCUACGGGAGGCAGCAGUGAGGAAUAUUGGUCAAUGGACGCAAGUCUGAACCAGCCAUGCCGCGUGCAGGAAGACGGCCCUAUGAGUUGUAAACUGCUUUUGUACGGGGGUAAAUGUAGUUGCGCGUAUCUGUCUGAAAGUACCGUACGCAUAAGAAUCGGCUAACUCCGUGCCAGCAGCCGCGGUAAUACGGAGGAUUCAAGCGUUAUCCGGAUUUAUUGGGUUUAACGGGUGCGUAGGCGGUCGGAUAAGUUAGAUGUGAAAUCCCGGGGCUCAACCUCGGAAUUGCCUCUGAUACUGGUCGGCUUGAGAGUAGUAGCGGUAGGCAGAAUGUAUGGUGUAGCGGUGAAAUGCGUAGAGAUCAUGCAGAACACCGAUUGCGAAGGCAGCUUACCGGGCUAAUACUGACGUUGAGGCACGAAAGCGUGGGGAGCAAACAGGAUUAGAUACCCGAGUAGUC
rnacentral:rRNA from 1 species